GGACAUUCGGAGGAGGUAAUGACCAGUUCCCUCAAUGCCUUAUGGUAUUGUGGAUAGGGGUACGGUUUUCCACCGUACCGAAACCUAGCAGAGGGCCAGUCUGGUGCCAGCAGCUGCGGUAAUUCCAGCUCUGCGAGUUUGCUCCCAUAUUGUUGCAGUUAAAACGCCCGUAGUCUGAAUUGGCCAGCAAUGGCCGUACGUAUUUUUACGUUCACUGUGAACAAAUCAGGACGCUUAGAGUAUGGCUACAGGAAUGACUCAGCGCAGUAUGAAGUCUUUGUUUUCUUCCGAAAACAAGCUCAAUGAGAGCCAUCGGGGGUAGAUCUAUCUCAUGACGAGUGGUGGAAUACUUUGACUCAUGAGAGAGAAGCUGAGGCGAAGGCGUCUACCUAGAGGGUUUCUGUCGAUCAAGGGCGAGAGUAGGAGUAUCCAACAGGAUUAGAGACCCUGGUAGUUCCUACCUUAAACGAUGCCGACAGGAGUUUGUCAUUUGUUAAUGGCAGAAUCUUUGGAGAAAUCAUAGUUCUUGGGCUCUGGGGGAACUACGACCGCAAGGCUGAAACUUGAAGGAAUUGACGGAAGGGCACACCAGGGGUGGAGCCUGUGGCUUAAUUUGAAUCAACACGGGGAAACUUACCAGGACCAGAUGUUUUUUAUGACUGACAGGCUUCGGGUCUUUCAGGAUAUUGUUUUUGGUGGUGCAUGGCCGUUGGUGGUGCGUGGGUUGACCUGUCUAGCGUUGAUUCAGCUAACGAGCGAGAUUAUCGCCAAUUAUUUACUUUGCCGAAGUCUUUCGGUUAAAGUUCUAAUUGGGACUCCCUGCGAUUUUAGCAGGUGGAAGAGGGUAGCAAUAACAGGUCCGUGAUGCCCUUUAGAUGCUCUGGGCUGCACGCGUGCUACAAUGUUAGGAUCAAUAGGACUGCAAACCUGAAAGGGUGAGCUACUCUUAUAAUCCCUAACGUAGUUGGGAUUGACGUUUGUAAUCAGCGUCAUGAACCAGGAAUCCCUUGUAAAUGUGUGUCAACAACGCACGUUGAAUACGUCCCUGCCCUUUGUACACACCGCCCGUCGCUCCUACCGAUUGGAUGACUCGGUGAAAUCACCGGAUGCCCAUGGGCAGAAAGUGAU
rnacentral:rRNA from 1 species